UACGUAGGUGGCAAGCGUUGUCCGGAAUUAUUGGGCGUAAAGCGCGCGCAGGCGGUCCUUUAAGUCUGAUGUGAAAGCCCACGGCUCAACCGUGGAGGGUCAUUGGAAACUGGGGGACUUGAGUGCAGGAGAGAAGAGUGGAAUUCCACGUGUAGCGGUGAAAUGCGUAGAGAUGUGGAGGAACACCCGUGGCGAAGGCGGCUCUCUGGGACGGUACUGACGCUGAGACGCGAAAGCGUGGGGAGCGAACAGG
rnacentral:rRNA from 1 species